rnacentral:misc_RNA from 1 species
AAACUUCCGGUGAUGAGGUUUUUCGUUUCAAAUGUGUAUUCUGUGUAGACCAACAUGUAUUCGUACGAAGAAAAUGUGGAUCCAGUAGAUAAAUAUCAACGAUCAGUGAGAGAGAGAGCAAAUGCCAGUUUACAUGAACUGGAGGAUGUUUUAUUGGGGACAUCAUCAGGCAGAGGGAGGGUGGAAACAUCGAGGGCGAAAGUCCAACUUCAGGCCACAGUUAAUCCUCGUACACUGAAGUGGUAUGAGGACAAUGCUCGUCCACAGAAAUAUAAGCAUGCAGUCUCAAAGCUCAGUGCUAUGCUUGGCCAAGACUCACAUAUUCCCCAGUCCCUGAGGCAGGCAGAUAGCAGUGUUCCCUCCCUGGAGGAGGCGGCAGCAGUAGUGCAGGCCCAGACAGGUUAUUGCCAGCAGCUGGAGGCAGAGAACCGCUACAUUAAGGAUGAGCUUGCAAAUUUAAGAGCAAAACUUUCUGAAAUUAUAGAGGAAAACAAAAGACUACAUGAGGAGUUAAAAACCAGUAUACUUCAAGAAAUAGUUGGAGAGAACAUUGAUCUAGAAAAAUCUGAGGUUGAAAACUUCUUCCUAGCAGAUAAGUCUGAUCACAUUUUUCACACAAGAGAACUUAAACAUCUCCAAGUGGAACUGGUAAUUCUUUGAUUUUACAGAUUCAAUGUAAAGUUAUAAUUUUAUUUGAAUUUGUUGAGUCUGACUGGUGGCAUUAAAUCCUGAUACAUGACUAACUGAAUCUAGAGAGAAGAUGUUGUUCUUUUUGUAUGAACAUGUCAUGUUGUUUUACAGGAAAGACUGAGUUCCCUUCAUUCUGCCAGAGUCAGUAGACUAGAGACUCAACUGGAGCAUUCCAGGUCAGAGAUUCAGAAAUAUGAGCAAAUGGUGGAGGAUCUAAGAUCUCAACUGCGAAUGCACGACAGCAUACCAACCAGAGAAAAUGGAGAGUUUGUCUCCGAAAAACAACGAAACUACCUCCAAAUCACAAUCGAUAAAUUAACAAGAGAAAGAGAUGAACUGAUGGAACAUGUGACAAGCUUAAAAUCAAAUGUCCAGAAACUAGCACAAAGAGAAGAGGAAGCAUACCAGCAAACCAAGAUGGGCAUUGAGAUGGUGGAACAAGCUCAGCUCGAACAAACUCAGGCUAUGGUGCAAAAAGAGCAGCUUGCAGAGGAGCUUGGCAACAUGAAGAAGAGAUUUGACACGUACAUCCUGGACACUCAGGCCCGCCUCCUGGAGGAGAGAGAGAGUGUACGCAGGGAGAGUCAGAUGAUGAUUGACACCAUCAAUCAAAAGGUUUGUCAUUAAGGUCAAAGGUCACAGUACCGGUAUUUGCCUUUAAACACAGACCAAGAUAUUUAUGUUGCACGCAAUAUUUAAAAGCUUUAUGUUUUUGUUUUAUCCAAACUUUAUUUUUUGUAACUGUGGCAGAUAAAGUCAUGAAAUUUGGUAUCUAUGUUUAACUGUAACUGCCUUUCCAAAUGUCUUUACCUGUAGAUCUAAGACCAUGUAUUUGUCAGUCUGUCAUUGUUCAAUAUUUAUAUAUUUACUAUAAGAUCCAGAUCACACAUCAAACAUAAACCCAUGGGAUUAACAUCAAUAUGGUAUUCGGAUUACAUGUACUUCUUGUUCUCUCUUACUUUCAUUUUUCAGUUUUAUAAUUUUUCAUAUUGUCCUUUUGUAAAGUUUGUACCGAACUACAUAGGAUGGUGUGGGAUAUAUAUCCAUGGUUUUGCAAGAAAUAAAAAAUUUAAAAAGCUCUGCGAAAUUAAAAAAAAAACACCAAUAUAGACUAGAUAUAUAGUAAGAUUUAUUUUCAACAGUUGAAGGAAAUGACAGACCAGUAUGCUGCAGCUUCUGCUCAAGUUGACAAAUUAUCUCGGGAAAAGGUGGCCUACAUCAACGAAAUUGAUGAAAUGAAGAUCCAGCUUCGCAGAUUUGAUAAAGAGGCUUCUAUGGCUGCAGAAACAUACAGAACAGAGUCUACUCAUGCAUCCAUUCAGAAAAGCCAUGCUUCCCAAGAGGUGAACAGAUUGAGGAAAGAUUUGGAAAUCACAAAAAGAGAAAGGGACCAGGUUUGUCAAUGUACCGGUACUGGUAGAUUCAAUCAACAAAAUCUACUGAAAGAGAGAAAAUUGAAUAAAAGAUUAUUUCUUUUGAACAUUUCCUUCCAGUGGUGCUUUGAUAAGAUUAGUAUUCUUUCAUCAUUAUCAUGGUUCUUUAAUGAAAAUUUUACAGGAAAAAAGUAAAAUGGAGAUAGAGCUUGAAGGUCUGAAGCGUCGAUUAAACAAGGCAGAGAGAGAACUUGUCAAUAGUAAAGAAGAAUGUAUCCAUUUAACAACGAAUGCCCAAGCAUUAGAGAGAGAGCUACAUCUAGCAAAACUGGCCAAAGAGAGCAUAGAGAGGAGCAGAAAUGAGGAUUUGAAAGCUAUGACCAAACGAGCGCAGAUGAGAGAGGAAGAACUCAACAGCUACAUAGAGGACAUAGGAGACAAGCAUGAAAGAUCAACUCAGGAAAUGGAUGUGAUGCUAAAGAAGCAAAAUCGUCUGAUGAUAAAACUUCGUGAUGAAUGCAAGAGACAGGCAGGCCAAAUAGAAAAAGUCACAAAGAAAAAUAGAAAUGAAAGUGGUCAACUACGCAAAGAAAAUGAGGAGCUGAGACUUCGACUGCAGCGAGCUUUGAUUCGACUGGAGGACUUAGACAACCAGUCAGAUCAACAUGGCAGGGUCCACGAAAAAAUGAAAGAGAGGCUAAAAAAGAUGGAUGACUAUGCUCAGGAGCAGGGACAACAGAUCUUGGAUUUGCUGUCCCAGCAGAGUGCGUUGCUAAGGGACAGACUACUCCUGUCUCGAGAGGUAGAAUUCCUCAGGAAGGAAAUCACAAAGUUCACGGAGGCAGACUUGGAGAAAUUCUUUUCUUCCAAUAAAACUCUUGUAGAUGAUAUUAUUAAGAGUGUGAAUACUGAGGAAAUGGAAAAUAAGUACAAACAGAAGUCAGUGAUAUUUUCAGACAACAAGACAGAUGAGGACAGAGAGGAUUUGGUAGACACAUAGUGCUUGUUGUUAAUGUUGGUUAUACAUCUAUAAACUGUGAUAUUUUUGUACAUUUUAUAUUCAUUAAAAAUAUUUAUCAUACCUC